rnacentral:ribozyme from 1 species
CCCCAGCGAUGAGCUCGCACCUCAACGUGGUGCUGGGGUCCAGUAGUCCUCGAUGGUUACGAGGACGAAGCGAAGAUGAGC